AAGAAAGUGUAAUAUGAAUUUCCACAUGAAUAUAAAAACUGUGGGAUAUUAUAAUUUCGAUAUUCAAACCGCGACGUACCUUGUAUUACGUAGCCGGUAUAGAUUAUAAAUGGGUUUACCUCGGACGAUUACCGUUCGAGGUAGUUAUUAGUUGAUUAAAACUUGAAAACUUUCACCGAGCGUAUUAAAUUUUCGAAUCUCAUCGAAGCUUAGGUAUAAUACCUUUACCUUGCGUACACACGUAUAGUUUAUAAAUAGCAAUUUCGCACCUGUCCUUCGCCCGCGCGAUGCGGAGAGGAGGCAAAAGUAGCAGGCAGCGGCAGCGGCAGCAGCAGCAGCAGCACAGCAUCUGAUAGUUUCGAUGUUAACGAAUCGGAAUUACGCCUCGUGAACGUCGAAACCUUGGACAUUGGUAAAUCCUACGCGUUUUCUCCGCAACAUUGGUAUUACAAGAGGCGCGCUUUGAUGAUCGUUGAAACGAACGCCGAGCUGCUAGCGACGAGAAAACUCCGGAACGAGCGAACCGAGCAUCCAACCAUCAUCGGCAUUACGUACGUACGUACGUACAGAGAGAACGUCGGUUCCAACGUUUUCCCACAUAGCUGCGUUUUUCACAAACGAUUCGCAACGAGAACUCGUUCGAUCGUGUACGUUAGGUGCAUUGCAAACACAAUGGCGAGAGUCACUCAACCACCGCAGAAGUAGUAAGAAGGGAAAUUUCGUAACGAUAGAUUUCGAAAAGUGGGAGUAGAAUAACGAUUGAAAUUUUCAUGCUGAUCACGACAGCUCAAAUUAUACAUUUAUAAAAACUCUAAAAGAAGUUCGCACAGCACAGGAACAGGUGCCGAACGAAAGUAUCUCUAGAACGUUUAAUUAAAGCCCGAUUAAUUAUUAAUGACCGACGAUAAAAAAGAGAAAGAGUUGAAAGAAAAAUAUACACAAGAGCGGAAUAAUAACAGUGAAAAAAAUUUACUCACAAAGGAAAUAACAACUGGAAGAAAGGAGUGAUUCAUCGACGAUAUGAUAUUCAUUGUUCCGCCAAUUUUAUAUUAUAAUAUCGAUUGUGAGACUUCAAGAUUUUAUCUUAUAAUCUUUGUG